rnacentral:rRNA from 1 species
AUACGGAGGGUGCGAGCGUUGUUCGGAAUUAUUGGGCGUAAAGAGCAUGUAGGCGGUCUGUUAAGUCUGGUGUGAAAGCCCGGGACUCAACCCCGGAAGUGCAUUGGAUACUGGCAGACUUGAGUAUGGGAGAGGAAAGCGGAAUUCCGAGUGUAGGAGUGAAAUCCGUAGAUAUUCGGAGGAACACCAGUGGCGAAGGCGGCUUUCUGGACCAAUACUGACGCUGAGAUGCGAAAGCGUGGGGAGCAAACAGGAUUAGAAACCCUAGUAGUCC